rnacentral:rRNA from 1 species
CCUACGGGGGGCAGCAGUGGGGAAUAUUGGACAAUGGGGGGAACCCUGAUCCAGCCAUGCCGCGUGUGUGAAGAAGGCCCUCGGGUUGUAAAGCACUUUCAGUGAGGAAGAACGCCUGGUGGUUAAUACCCAUCAGGAAAGACAUCACUCACAGAAGAAGCACCGGCUAACUCCGUGCCAGCAGCCGCGGUAAUACGGAGGGUGCGAGCGUUAAUCGGAAUUACUGGGCGCAAAGCGCGCGUAGGUGGCUUGAUAAGCCGGUUGUGAAAGCCCCGGGCUCAACCUGGGAACGGCAUCCGGAACUGUCAAGCUAGAGUGCAGGAGAGGAAGGUAGAAUUCCCGGUGUAGCGGUGAAAUGCGUAGAGAUCGGGAGGAAUACCGGUGGCGAAGGCGGCCUUCUGGACUGACACUGACACUGAGGUGCGAAAGCGUGGGUAGCAAACAGGAUUAGAUACCCGAGUAGUC